CUCGGAGCCGGAACGGGUCGUGGUGGUUCCGGCACCGCCCUCGGAGCCGGAACGGGUCGUGGUGGUUCCGGAACCGCCCUCGGAGCCGGAACGGGUCGUGGUGGUUCCGGCACCGCCCUCGGAGCUGGAACGGGUUGGGGUGCAUCAGGCCCCCUGCUGGACGCAGGACCGGG